rnacentral:rRNA from 1 species
CUGGGGAAUAACCGGUGGAAACGCCGACUAAUACCCCAUAGUAUCAACUUUAGGCAUCUUUAGUUGAUAAAGAAUUUCGGAAACGGAUAGGCUCGCGUGACAUUAGCUAGAUGGCGGGUAACGGCCCACCAUGGCGACGAUGUCUAGGGGUUCUGAGAGGAAGGUCCCCCACACUGGAACUGAGACACGGUCCAGACUCCUACGGGAGGCAGCAGUGAGGAAUAUUGGUCAAUGGUCUAACGACUGAACCAGCCAUGCCGCGUGAAGGUCACGGCCCUAUGGGUCUUAAACUUCUUUUGUCAGGGAGCAAUAAGGUCUACGUGUAGAUUGAUGAGAGUACCUGACGAAUAAGCAUCGGCUAACUCCGUG